UGCCAGCCGCCGCGGUAAUACAGAGGGUGCAAGCGUUAAUCGGAAUGACUGGGCGUAAAGGGCGCGUAGGUGGUUAGUUAAGUUAGCUGUGAAAGCCCCGGGCUCAACCUGGGAAGGUCAGCUAAAACUGGUUAACUAGAGUAUGGUAGAGGACAGUGGAAUUUCCGGUGUAGCGGUGAAAUGCGUAGAUAUCGGAAGGAACAUCAGUGGCGAAGGCGACUGUCUGGACUAAUACUGACACUGAGGCGCGAAAGCGUGGGUAGCGAACAGGAUUAGAUA
rnacentral:rRNA from 1 species